UACGUAGGGUGCGAGCGUUGUCCGGAAUUAUUGGGCGUAAAGGGCUCGUAGGCGGUCUGUUGCGUCGGGAGUGAAAACUCAGGGCUUAACCCUGAGCCUGCUUCCGAUACGGGCAGACUAGAGGUAUGCAGGGGAGAACGGAAUUCCUGGUGUAGCGGUGAAAUGCGCAGAUAUCAGGAAGAACGCCCGUGGCUAAGGCGGCUCUCUAGUACGGUACUGACGCUGAGACGCGAAAGCGUGGGGAGCGAACAGG
rnacentral:rRNA from 1 species